GGAAGUGGAGCUCAGGGGUAGAGCGCUUGCCCAGGAUGCACGAGGCCCUGGGUUCCAGCCCCAGCACUGCAA
rnacentral:tRNA from 1 species